rnacentral:rRNA from 1 species
UAACAUGCAAGUCGAGGGGUAACAGGGAAAAGCUUGCUUUUCCGCUGACGACCGGCGCACGGGUGCGUAACACGUAUGCAACCUACCUCUUACUGGGGGAUAGCCCAGAGAAAUUUGGAUUAAUACCCCAUAGUAUCACCAGUUCGCAUGUUCAGGUGAUUAAAGGUUACGGUAAGAGAUGGGCAUGCGCCCCAUUAGCUAGUUGGUGAGGUAACGGCUCACCAAGGCUACGAUGGGUAGGGGGUCUGAGAGGACUAUCCCCCACACUGGUACUGAGACACGGACCAGACUCCUACGGGAGGCAGCAGUGAGGAAUAUUGCGCAAUGGACGAAAGUCUGACGCAGCCAUGCCGCGUGCAGGAUGACGGCGCUAUGCGUUGUAAACUGCUUUUAUAUGCCAAGAAACCUUCGGACGUGUCCGAAGCUGACGGUAGCAUAUGAAUAAGCACCGGCUAACUCCGUGCCAGCAGCCGCGGUAAUACGGAGGGUGCAAGCGUUAUCCGGAUUUAUUGGGUUUAAAGGGUCCGUAGGCGGAUCAUUAAGUCAGUGGUGAAAGC